CACGGCCUAUCAGCUUGUUGGUGAGGUAAUGGCUCACCAAGGCGACGACGGGUAGCCGGCCUGAGAGGGUGACCGGCCACACUGGGACUGAGACACGGCCCAGACUCCUACGGGAGGCAGCAGUGGGGAAUAUUGCACAAUGGGCGCAAGCCUGAUGCAGCGACGCCGCGUGAGGGAUGACGGCCUUCGGGUUGUAAACCUCUUUCAGUAGGGAAGAAGCGAAAGUGACGGUACCUGCAGAAGAAGCGCCGGCUAACUGCGUGCCAGCAGCCGCGGUAAUACGUAGGGCGCAAGCGUUAUCCGGAAUUAUUGGGCGUAAAGAGCUCGUAGGCGGUUUGUCGCGUCUGCCGUGAAAGUCCGGGGCUCAACUCCGGAUCUGCGGUGGGUACGGGCAGGCUAGAGUGAUGUAGGGGAGACUGGAAUUCCUGGUGUAGCGGUGAAAUGCGCAGAUAUCAGGAGGAACACCGAUGGCGAAGGCAGGUCUCUGGGCAUUAACUGACGCUGAGGAGCGAAAGCAUGGGGAGCGAACAGGAUUAGAUACCCUGGUAGUCCAUGCCGUAAACGUUGGGCACUAGGUGUGGGGGACAUUCCACGUUUUCCGCGCCGUAGCUAACGCCUUAAGUGCCCCGCCUGGGGAGUACGG
rnacentral:rRNA from 1 species